GACGAACGCUGGCGGCGUGCUUAACACAUGCAAGUCGAACGGAAAGGCCCUGCUUUUGUGGGGUGCUCGAGUGGCGAACGGGUGAGUAACACGUGAGUAACCUGCCCUUGACUUUGGGAUAACUUCAGGAAACUGGGGCUAAUACCGGAUAGGAGCUCCUGCUGCAUGGUGGGGGUUGGAGAGUUUCGGCGGUUGGGGAUGGACUCGCGGCUUAUCAGCUUGUUGGUGGGGUAGUGGCUUACCAAGGCUUUGACGGGUAGCCGGCCUGAGAGGGUGACCGGCCACAUUGGGACUGAGAUACGGCCCAGACUCCUACGGGAGGCAGCAGUGGGGAAUAUUGCACAAUGGGCGGAAGCCUGAUGCAGCAACGCCGCGUGCGGGAGGACGGCCUUCGGGUUGUAAACCGCUUUCGCCUGUGACGAAGCGUGAGUGACGGUAAUGGGUAAAGAAGCACCGGCUAACUACGUG
rnacentral:rRNA from 1 species